rnacentral:rRNA from 1 species
GAUGAACGCUGGCGGCGUGCCUAAUACAUGCAAGUCGAGCGAACAGACGAGGAGCUUGCUCCUCUGACGUUAGCGGCGGACGGGUGAGUAACACGUGGAUAACCUACCUAUAAGACUGGGAUAACCUCGGGAAACCGGAGCUAAUACCGGAUAAUAUAUUGAACCGCAUGGUUCAAUAGUGAAAGACGGUUUUGCUGUCACUUAUAGAUGGAUCCGCGCCGCAUUAGCUAGUUGGUAAGGUAACGGCUUACCAAGGCAACGAUGCGUAGCCGACCUGAGAGGGUGAUCGGCCACACUGGAACUGAGACACGGUCCAGACUCCUACGGGAGGCAGCAGUAGGGAAUCUUCCGCAAUGGGCGAGAGCCUGACGGAGCAACGCCGCGUGAGUGAUGAAGGUCUUCGGAUCGUAAAACUCUGUUAUUAGGGAAGAACAAAUGUGUAAGUAACUAUGCACGUCUUGACGGUACCUAAUCAGAAAGCCACGGCUAACUACGUG